AUAUAUAUAAAUAUAUUAGAAAGAGAAUUUAAUUAAUUUGUAUGUCGACUAAGAUAUUUCUUUCAACAUGAUUGUUAACGCAGUAUUAAAUGAAUUAACCUUCAGAUGUAUACUUCGAUAGUAAUGCAUGGUCAUCAUUUACAGACUUUAUACUCCGUAGAAUUAAAAUAUCUGGCAUAAGAUAGUCCGAAUGCUAUUACUGCAAAACACUUUUGUCGAUCGACUAGAAUCGACCCUUUGAUCGGAGAACAUACCAUAGAAAGAGGUUAAGCAAUAUAAAAAAAGAUAAUGACUUUAUAGGUUAUCCGGAUUCGAUUGCAUUAAAUGUUAAAGUAUAAAGACACUGUGGAAACGUACCAAUGAACUCCAUACGAGUAGGAUAUCAGGAACAGAAAGAGCAAUCAUAUGAAUAAAUUGUUGGAAGCUACGAUUUUUCUUUACUCAUGUGCUUAUGAAUAAAAUAAGAAACGUCUAUUUCAUUUCUUUAUUUAUCAGAGUAAAUGCUAUUAGAUUUAAUAUUUAUAUUUAAAAACUACAUUUAUUUUAUAAUUCAUAAAUUUUUUCUUAAAAAUUAGAAUUUUUCUUUCAUAUAGAUUGUAAAUAUAUAUAUAAAUAUAUAUAAUUGCUGUGAAAAAAUUAAUUAUAAUAAUUUGUUUUUAUAAUAAAAUUUAUAAAUACAUUUGAUUUAAUUUUAUUACUUAUUGUUAGAAAUCUAAAGAAAGUUUACGAUAAACAAAAUAAAAUCAUUAUUUAACUUAAAAAAUAAAUAUUUAUUACAUUAUUAUAGUUUAUUGUAAUAUGUAUCAACUUACUUGAAUGACAGAAAAUCAAUGAAAGAAAAAAUAAAGAGAAAAUCAUGAAGUUAAAUAUAAUCCUAUUGUUAAAUAAUCCAUUAAAUAUAAAUUAUGUAAUCCAAAAUCAAAAAUAACUACAAUCGUGGCAAAAAGAGUCUGAAAAAUGAACAUGAUUCGUAUAUACGCGGUUUACGAAUGCGUGAAGAAUAGUGGGGUGCAGUGAUGCGCGGAGCGGCCACUCCGCAGCGCUCCCCUUUCAUUAGGAACACAGAAUAAAUAAGAAAGCAUAGCUAUCAUGUAUUAUCUUGCUGAUGAAGAAUUAUACUCUUACUUUUCGUACAAUCCGUGUAUUACAUAGUAUUUUGUGAUUAAGAGCGUAGAUUGGGGACCCCAAGAACUGGCCUGCCCCACGAUAGACCGAACAAAACACGUCAUUUCUCGGGAUUGAGAUUUUUUCGCUCUAUUUAAUCAACCUUCUUUAAUAUAUGUUAAUUCUUGGAAACAAAAAUAUAAUAGAAAUAAUAAAUAUUUUUAUAUAAUAUUAUCUCAUAAUUAAUUUAUAAUAUAAAUUUGUAAUUUAAUUAUAGGAAAAUAAAAUUUAAUAAUUAUUAACAAGCGUAUUGAUGUAAUUAUAAGUAAUAUACGCAAUAAUUGUGAAAUAGAAAUGUAUAAUUAUUUAGUAAUAUUUAAAAAAAAACAUUAAUUUUAAAUAUUUCUAAAUAAACAUCAAAAUUAUAUGAAAAUAUAAAUUUUUUAUCAGAAAA